GAUGAACGCUGGCGGCGUGCCUAAUACAUGCAAGUCGAACGCUGGAGAUCUAGCUUGCUAGAUCGAAGGAGUGGCGAACGGGUGAGUAAUACAUAAGCAACCUACCCACGAAGACUGGGAUAAUCUCUGGAAACGGGGACUAAUACCGGAUAGGUAAUCGGAAGGCAUCUUCUGGUUAUUAAAGGUUAAAAACACUGGUGGAUGGGCUUAUGGCGCAUUAGUUAGUUGGUGAGGUAACGGCCCACCAAGACGAUGAUGCGUAGCCGGCCUGAGAGGGUGAACGGCCACAUUGGGACUGAGACACGGCCCAGACUCGUACGGGAGGCAGCAGUAGGGGAUUUUCGGGAAUGGAGGCAACCCUGACCGAGCAACGCCGGGUGAGUGGAGACGGCCUUCGGGUUGUAAAGCUCUGUUGUAAGGGAAGAACGGUAGAUAGAGAAUAUCUAAGUGACGGUACCUUACCAGAAAGCCACGGCUAACUACGUG
rnacentral:rRNA from 1 species